CGGGUCUCCUGGCGCUGCACCACAUUGGUCAACGUGGUCACUUGCGCCCGCAAUUGAUCCAUCUCGCUCGGUUCAGCCUGCUCGGGCACCUCGGGAAGCGGUGCCGGAGUAGACCUCGUGCUCGGGCGUCCUCUUGGUGCCAUUGGCUCCUGAAACGCAAGUACUUGGUUAAUUAUCUUAACUUGUUCACCUCGUCACAAUUAUGACACACAACGACUCAACAAUGAAAUCGGGCAGAAGCACACAAGUGUACUCGUUCUAGACUCUUGGUAUCAUGUCGUCGGCCACCGACACAACCACCUCAAGACAAGAACUCAUACCACUUGAAUCCGUCUCUAAUCACAACUAGAGACAUAUUACCAACUUCGACCCAAUCGAAUCAACUUCCGCCAUCGCUAUAGGUUCACGUUCCGCUCACGCACCUAUAACCUUAGGGCUUACCAACCUAGGGUCUCCUAGGUCAUCCUAGACUCUCUCUCUUUA
rnacentral:lncRNA from 1 species